rnacentral:tRNA from 1 species
GCCCUGGUGGCACAGCGGUGGAGCAUUCAGCUGCUAACUGAAAGGUUGGCGGUUCAUCCCACCCAGUGGCU